rnacentral:rRNA from 1 species
UACGUAGGGUGCAAGCGUUGUCCGGAAUUAUUGGGCGUAAAGAGCUCGUAGGCGGCCUGUCGCGUCGGCUGUGAAAACUCAGGGCUCAACCCUGAGCCUGCAGUCGAUACGGGCAGGCUAGAGUCCGGCAGGGGAGACUGGAAUUCCUGGUGUAGCGGUGAAAUGCGCAGAUAUCAGGAGGAGCACCGGUGGCGAAGGCGGGUCUCUGGGCCGAUACUGACGCUGAGGAGCGAAAGCGUGGGGAGCGAACAGG